rnacentral:lncRNA from 1 species
ACAAGUCAGACGUGUAUAGUUUCGGAAUGUUAGUGUUAGAAAUGGUUGGUGGAAGGAAAAAUGUUGAUGAUACAGCAGAAAAUGGUGAUCAAGUAUACUUCCCAGAAUGGAUUUAUAAUCUCUUAGAAGAAGGAGAAGACCUGCGGUUCCAAAUCGAGGAAGAAGGGGAUGCUGAAAUUGCGAAGAAGCUAGCCAUUGUAGGACUGUGGUGCAUCCAGUGGAACCCAGUGGACCGUCCUUCCAUGAAAAUUGUUGUCCAGAUGCUGGAAGGUGAAGGAGACAGGUUAAGUACACCUCCUAAUCCUCUUAGCUCCACAGCUGCAAAGAGAACGAAUACAGGUAUGCUAAGGAGGCAUCUUCAUCAAGAGUUGGCAGCCAUCUCAGAAACAGAGUAAUCAUAUAUUUUGAGGUCAUCAUUGCUUUCAAGGCUGUGAUCAAAGCAUGCAUUUGAUUGAGAAUAUGGGGAUGAAACUGUAUUUGCUUGCAAGAUUAGUUUUUAAAUUGUAUUUCUUAAACUUCAUGAUGGUGCAGUGUAUUUUCAGGACUCUUGGUGUGUGUCCUAAAAAUUUUAAAUUUGUUUUUAAAAUUUUUAAAAUUACUUGGUUGUGUUGUCACGCUUUGAAAAAUUUUAAAUUUGUUUUUGUUUUAAAUUAUAUAUAUAUUAUGUUUUUAAAUUUUUUUGAAGCAUUAAUAUCAAAAUUAAUUUUUAAAAAAUAAAAAAAUAUAUUUUAAUAAAUUUUCUAGUAAAAAUUAUUUUAAAAAAUAACUUCUCUAUUGAGUUCCAACUUCUCCUUACUAAAAAAAUUUAAAGAAGAAUUGAUAGCAAAUACUAACGAACUUGGAGAUAGAAAGGAUUCAAUCACGAUAUAUUUGAAAUUAUAUGGACUCAAUUGUUAAACUUUCAUAUUUUAUGGCAACUUAAGAAUUGUUAUUGAUUGGGUCCUUAAAGUUUCAGGUAUUUCUCAAUCGGCUUCUUCUUUUCAUUUCCAUUACUUUUAUAUUUUUUCCUUUGACAGAAAGGAUUGAGUCAAGAUAUAUUUAAAAUGUUAGGGACUCAAUUGUUAUGCUAAACUUCUAUAUUUUGUGACAAAUUAAGAAUUUAGUAAUGCUUUAAAGGUUAAUUUGAGUUUCCUCUAUAAUUAAACAACACCUUGAAUAGCUUGUUGCCUUCUUCGAGUGGUAAACUGCGUAUUAUUUGAGACUGUAGAUUCUCUUUUUAGAUAUUAUUAAUUUUUUUAAUAUAAAACAAAAAAUUAAUCGUUGCAACAUUGCUAACCUUUUUUUAAUAAAAAAUUAAAUCAUAUACAAAUUAACUUAAAAUAACACAUUUAACUUGAUGAAUUAAAAAAACAACUUGAAUAACUAUUAACAACAUGAUUUGAUGAUAUUUUUUUAAAAAAAUAUUAAGAUAAAAACAUAUUGGAUCGACUCAGAUCAACUUAAAUUAACUUGUUAAUUUUACGACUUGAAUCAUGAGACAAAAAUAUCCCUAUAUAAAGUAAGUCAAAACAAAUUAUAAAAUCCAAAUCUCAAUCAACCCAAUAUUGAAAAAUGAACUUGAAUUUUUUAAAAAAAAAAAAGAUAAAAGAAAAACCUAAAUUAACCCAAGCUAAUCUGUCAAAUCUAUGACAUGAAUCAUCAAACCAUGAUAAACCUAUAAAAAAUAAAUAAAUAAAAAUUAUAAAGUUUAAUUCCUAAUUAACCAAAUGUUGAACGAAAAAAUUAAAAAAAAUCAAUUAAAAAACAGACAAAAAACAAAACACUCAAGUAAACUUGCCAAACUCAUAAUCUAGGUCAUAAGAUCGAGAUAACUUUAUAGAAAGUAAACAAAAAAAAUUGACCCGGAUAAACCCGAGUUACACUACGAAACCCAUGUCGCAGGUCAUGAAACUAAGAUAACUAUAUAUAUAUAUAACGAAUCAAAACAAAUUAUAAAACAUAAUUCUUAAUCAACCCAUUGUUGAAAAAAAAAAUUGAAAAAAAAAUUCAAUCUAGAAAAAGAACAAAAUAAAAUGACUCAAGUCAAUCUAAAUUAACCCGUAAAAUUCAUGAUUCAGGUUAUGAGACUAUGAUAAUUUAAUAGGAAAUAAGCUUAAAAGAAUCUCGAAGUCUAAUUCUUAAUCAAUAUAAUAUUGAAGGAUAAAAUUAAAAAAUAAUACAAAUUAAAAAAAAAAAAAAACAAAUUAACCAAUUAAAUUCGCAACACAUGUCAUGAGACCAGAUACCAAUAUAUAAACAAACCAUUUUUUAUUUUGUUUUUGUUAAUGUGACCAAUCCCUCAAAGUGAAAAACAUGAAAAAUAUCCCCCUCUCUCUCAGGCCAUGGUUUCAGUCACUAAUUAAGAACCACCACCACUCCUCCUAUAAGCCACCCAAGAACCACCACUUGAGCCUUGUCUUGCAUCAUCCUAUACUCAACCAGAAAAGAAAACUGAUUAGCUUAGACUUUGAAAGGGAAAUAAAAUUAGGUUAACAAAGCAGAGUAAGAACAAAGUGCACUAAAGUGAGGCUGCCAUUGUAAAACUGAACAACAAAUAUGUAGAUCCAGUACAUUGAUCACCAUCAAUCAUAAGAACAUAUGUUGCUCAGCUGCAACAAUUUCUGUUUGUUAAGUUUUUUCAGCAAGGAAACCAACAACAUCCGGCAUAACAUGGCAAGAAAAACUUUUCCUAGAAGCAGUAUGAAAUAUUCCUAGGAUGGCAGAGAACUCAGUCUUCAUAAAAAUUGCAAAAGUAUUUCGAUAUUUGCGUUAAAUUGUUUCAUUUGAUGAGGAGAGUUUAUAUUAGAUGUUUUUGUACCUUAAAAGUUCAUGAAAAAAAUAGAUUUGAACUCGAGUUGAAUUUUGAUUUCAGGUUGAAUUUGGUUUUUGGAGCGAUUUUUUUAUUUUUGUUUUUGGAGGCCAUGAAUAGGUUUGUCAUGGUUUCUAAGAUGUUUUAUAAGUGUUUUAGAUCAAAAAGGGGAUGAAAAACAAGUUUUGAGUCAAAAGAACAUAAAUCCUGAUUUUGUGGCCAUCACAGUGGUUGGAAUUUAGACAAAACAGGCGACGUGUCAACUGGUUUUUUAAAGAAAAUGGGCAAACAAAAUGUUGUCUACCCCAAGCACAGAUAAGAAAAAAAAGAGUUCAAUCAUGCGGGCCCUUGUAAAAUGGGUCAGGCAAGUAGGUCAGACCCAACAAUGUCUAGCUUUUUUUCCCCUAAUUAUCAUUUUUUAUUUCAAUUGAUGCUUUUUUUAAAAAAAAAAACUUAAUUAUAUUUACAUUAAUACCAUUUUCCCUUUUUAUUUUGUUUAGAGAAUCACUUUUAAAUAAUAUUGAUUUUUUGGUCAUGUGUUUAAUUUUUAGAGAGAUUUUUCUGAUUUAUUUAUGGUUUUGUUUUUAUCUUUUGUAUAGAUAAACUAUGUUUUUGAAAAUAAAAAAUAUUAUUUUAUAAUGAUAUUUUUAAUAUAUGCAGCCUACAUGUUUAUUCAUUUUUUAUUUAAUUAAUUUAAUAUAUUUGUCUAUUUUUAUUAUUGUUUAAUUAAUUAGAAAACAUGGUCAGGUAAAUGUUUUAUUUUUCAAGAUUAAAUAUCUUGAUUUAUAUCUAUUUUUUAAUUUUCAAGUUUUGUUUUUAGGUGGUAUUAAUAAUUUUUAUUUAUUUAUUAAUGCAUAUAAUUUUUAGUUUAUUUAAUUACAUAUAUGUAUAAAUUUUUUAAUUUAUUAAAUUUUUUGAACAACAAAAAUACAUUAAAAAAAUAUGCAUAUAUAUUGUUUUAUAAGAAAAUAAAAUAUUUAACUCACAGCAAGCACGGUUAACAUAGCUAGUUGGUUCUCAAACCAUGAUUGGAAGUGUAUGGGCUUUAAUUUCCUGGGAGCCCAAUUGCAUUUAACCUUGAAAUCGAUUAGAUCCAUAGGCCGCCUGUAUAAUAAUGGAUUAAGGGCCUAGCAAAUAGAUUAUGGGUUAGUUUAGAAUUUACUAUUACUACUUUUUUUUUUUCUUUCAGACAAGAAAUAUUGUAAACUGAAGUGUUUAAGAUGUAAGAUAUUGAUUUAAUAAUUACCUCUAAAUUAGUAUUUUGGACAGCCAUGGAAGGUAAUGGCUGUCCAAAUAUCAUAAGGUAAACUUUUAACUUCUAUUAAUCUCUCAUGAAACAUAAUCCAAGCCAUACACAUGUUAGAUAUGUUAUAAAUUUAUUUUAAAAACAUGGUUCAUCAUUAAUUUUCAUGAUUAAAGCUUUAUUGAAAAUUAUUCUUUAACAAAAAUAUAUUGACAUGAAACCUUAUUUUUUUAAAAUAGAUUAUGGAUGAACUCCUAAUUAAAUAUAUAAAAAAAAACUCCUGAUUAAUGUUUUAUAAAUAUAAAAAUCCUUCACCUCACAUAAAAGAGGAAUACAAGAUUAUUUUUAUAGUUUAUAUAAUAGAAUGUUUAAGAGUUCAAAUUAUAUUUGUAGGGUAUAAAACUUUAAAAAAUAAGAGGUUUUAGGCUAAAUGAACUUUAUAUUUAAUUUACACGGGCUUCUUAGCUUGGGCCUAAGAUAAUGUAUGUUGUAAAGCAAUUUUUUAUGCUCAUAAAAAUUAUUUUUCAAGGUAGCAUAUGAAUAAUUUAUGAACAAUUAUCUUUCUUUAUUUUAAGAGUUUUAUUUUUUAUGUGGAGAAACUGUGGUAUUAUUUUUUAUGAUGGAUAAUUAAAAAUAAUAAACAGUGAAGAUUAAUCUUGGUAGUUCCAUAAAAAUUAUUUUUGAGAUAGCCUAUGAACAAUUUGUCUCAACAACUUAAUCGAUAAUUAAAGUUGAUAAAUGAUAAGAAUUAAUUAAUUUUGCACCCCUUUAAUUCUAAAUUCUAGUAUAAAUAGGGAAUGAAAAUGGAGUGUUUUCCAGCAAAUAAGGUAGAUGAUUACAGUUUAUCAUAAUGGUAUUAACUAUCAAAGAACUAGUAUCAUUCAUGCAGAGUAUUCCAUAUCAGAUCACUUAAUUAAAUGCAUUUUCAAUCAAGCUGAGUGAUUCCAAAGAAUAAUCAGACAUGGAAGAUGAUUCUCCACAAGUGUUCAUUGGUUUCUCAUCUAGAUUUAGAAUAGGUUUCGGAGGCAGUUGCAGGCUUUCCAUGUCUCCUUCAAGUAUCUCCACAACUUUGUUCAUUGCGGGCCGAUUCAGAGGGUUCAUUUAUAUACACCACAACCCUGCAAUAACCAUCUUCUUGACUAUCUUUUGUUCUUCUUCUGUGCCACCAUCUCCAAUAUCUAUAGCCUUCUCAUUAGAGACUUGGUCAUGAACCCAAUCUGGCCAGUAAAUUUCGCUCAACCUUUCAGCCAAUGGAUUCAAAUUUUUUCUUCUGCCUGUCAUUUCCAACAGCAACAUUCCAAAGCUAUAAACAUCAGCUUUGUAUGACACGCGCCCGAUGUUCUUGUAGAACAGUUCUGGCGCCAUGUAGCCUAUCGUUCCCCCCGCUGCAGUGAGAGAUUUAAGAGUCUCAUUUGCUGGGCACAACCUAGCAAGCCCAAAGUCAGAAACUUUUGGAGCGAAGUUUUCAUCGAGUAGAAUGUUGUGAGGCUUGAUGUCAAAAUGUAGGAUCUGCAUCUCACAACCUCGAUGUAGAUAUUGGAUGCCAUGAGCCACUCCAAGGGAAAUCUCAUGCAAUUUUUCCCAGCUUAAAGAGACAGAUCUUUCUUGAGAAAAAAUGAAAUUAUUAAGAGAUCCAUUGGGCAUGAAAUCAUAUACAAGAGCGCGUUUUGAUCCCUCAGCACAAAAACCAACUAGUUGCACUACAUUAGUGUGAUGAAUUCUUCCAAUGGUAGCGACUUCAUUGAUGAAAUCUUGUCCAUUAGCCUUGGAUUUUCCCAGCAAUUUUAUCGCUGCAGAAUGUCCACUGCGAAGCUUUCCUUUAUACACGCAUCCAAAACCUCCUUCACCCAACUUUUCCUUGAAACCUCUGGUCAUCUUCUUAAUCUCCGAAUAAGAAUACCUCACGACUGGCAUAAGAUUGUUAUGAGUGUGUAGGAAUUUCUCAACUGUGUCAUAUGCUGAUAGAUGUCUUCGUCGCCAUUUAUAGAUCAAGAAUGCAAACACAAACGGACUCCCAAAAAUAAAUUUUGUCCCUGUGCGUGAAAUUUGAGGGAAAGAAAAUUUAAGAGAGGAAUUGUUAUUCUUUUUUAUUAAUUAACAGAGAUAGAUAAAUACUCAACAUGGGUUACGUUAGGCGUUAGGAUUACUUUGCCGAGUUGAAAAAUCAUCUAAAAUCUAGACCAUCAUGAUUUGUAGAAAAGCAUACUCUUGACCAAAAGGUAUGUUUCAGACAUUAGGCAACCCCCCAACCCCGAGAACUUGGCAUAAGAAGACAUUUAGGAAUUAUCAUUUUGUAUCUGCUAAUAAAAUAUGAUCCAAUAUCAUAGCUUUAAAAAAAUAUAAAUAAUCAAUAAGGGAAGUUCUUACAAAUGAAAAUGGAUGCAUACAGCAGGACGGCUGCAGAGAAGGUAAACAAAUUAGAGAUAUUAUAGUAAGAAUUAUUUGGAAUUACGGAAUCAAGCAAGAUGAAGUGGGGAAAUAGAAUCCUCACCUACGGUUGUCCAGAACCAAGAACCUCCUGUUGGACCAAGAGAUCAGUUAAAAAGAUUAGAUUUGUGAUUUGAGAAAAUAUAUAACGGAGGUUAUUACAAGAUGACAGAAAUUGAGAAGAAACAAAUGAAUGACUUAGCAAAAUUAUCUAUAUAUAUAUAUGAUAUGACCAUCUGCAGCCUAUGAUAGCUUGAUUGAGCUGACCGUACGAUAAUAGGCUGCAGAAAUGGGGAAAUCAUGCAAAGAAAUGGGAGAUUGGAAGCAAUCAUCUAUUAUCUAUAUGAUAUCACCAACUGCAGCCUAUGAUAGCUAGAUUGAAUUGACUGGGAGUUCCUCGAUACUACAAUAGGCUACUGAAAAUUGCCCACCUGCGCAUUUUGUCUGGUUCGAAUCAUCGAUGUAGCAAAUAGUUGCACAGCUUCCACACUUGCUCUUGUGCCAUGAAAGCUCAAACCCAUAUGCCAGCUGACUGUGAAUUUCCUUAAAGGAUGUAUUCUUGUAAUCCUUGGCUGGCAACAACGUCAUCCUCUCUAAGCUGCACAGUUCCAUCAAAUCCGAGGCCUUCAUGCCACCAAUAUUCACAUAUGAAUGCGUUGAGAGAGAACCAUUGGAAGAUUCUGCUCCAUUAAGGCAAGUACCGGUAUCUACGUACAGAGGAGAAUUCACUGGAUUUGCACAGUUUAUAAAAAUAAUCUUCUGCGAUAAUGAGAGACGCUUGAAAUUGGUAUCCCAUUUCGGCCAUGUCUUUUUGUAUUGAAACGAUGUAUAUGGAUUCAUGGAAUUAUCCAGGUUUGCAUAUGUUAAAGAAAAACUAGGAAGAGAAGAGCAAUCAUUUAAUUUAACACCAGCGUCCACCAAUCGUAUUGUCAAGUUGUUGUAGUUGAUUGCCUGGACGUAGUGUUUUCGUGAGUCUAAAUACAAUACAGUGGAGGUAUUUUUCUCGCAGUGGAGGGUAUAGAGAGGGUUUCCACAGUUAGAUGGAUCACUGUUUAGGCUAAAGGGGUAGCUAAUAGUAUGGUUGCCACAUGAAGAAGGGGCACAGAGAGUCGUAUCCUUGCAGUUGCAGGUUUGGAGGACUAGCAGGGGGAGCAGUAAGGCAAGGUAGCCAGCAAAGAGGAGCCUAGACAUGGGUGGAGAAAGAGUGUAGUGCAUAAACAAUUCUUCUAGUCUUGAGAAGACAACAGGUAAAGUCAGUGAAACAUAGAAGAAGUAGAAACCUAAAGGCGAGUUUUGCGAAGUGAGAGUGCCAUGAUCAGAAUACUAAACUUGCUGCGAUUUUUCUAAAAAAAUUAGCGAAGCAAAACAAACAAUUCGUGGGAAUAGCAUAUUUUUAACUUUUAGCGAUUCAUAGUCAUGAUAUUUAAUAAACAUAGUUAUUCACAAGCACGAUAACCUAUAUGUCAUGUUUUUAAAUUGUAGUGUAAUUUACUUACCCCUUCUUCUUCCUCGGAUCACUUAACACACGAACACACUAACUGUGUUGUUGCGUAAAAGUUUUAAAUAUUAUGUGAAAAUAGCACAAUUGAUCCAAUGACUGCCAGCCACCAAGUCAUUCUUAAUUUGAGAUGUCAAAGUCAAAAUAAUAUUAAGAAACAGGGGGGGGGGCGGGGUUUCUUUCUCUCUUCCUCUUGAUAAAAAUGAAUAAACAGGAGAGACGGUGGGUUGGUGAAAAGUUGAAUGCAUGCCCAUCAUAAUUAGUCCUUCAAUUAACAGAUUGGCCGUGGGCUUUCCGUUGAUGUCCGAGGGGAUUUCUUUGUAAUUAUGUUAUUGUGUUUCACUGUAGUUGAAACUUGAAAGGGUUUUAAUUAGCUGCAGUGAGACAGUUUUUUUUUUUUUUUUUUGGAAAAGUUUCUUUGCGAAAAAAGCCAAAGACCAACCCAAAACUUCCAGGAAAGUCCAAGCUCUGCUCUGUCCCCUGGAAACAAGAAAGAAAGUGAGGGGGCAAUAAUCUUUUUUUGUCACAGAACUAACACGGUGGAUGCGAAUUUGGAGCACAUUAUUUAGGCAAGAAGAUUUUAAAAACAACUCCAAUGUCAUAAAACGAAGGUAUCCUCGCUGCUUCCAUCUGAGUUUACAAUUAUUGCAUGUUCAUUGCAGAACUUGGAGUGUGUCUAAACUGCACAGGACCUUGUGGGAACCGUGGCCUCGACAUCCGAUUUCCAUUCUUGCAGCCAGACCAGUACUGUGGCUAUCCUGGGUUUGAUCUAUCUUGCAAUGAGAGGGAUGAUAUAGUGCACGAGCUGCCGAGUGAUCCCAACUUGGGUUUCACUUAUGACUGAGGUUGCUACUGCUUUAACUACUUUUGACUAAAAUAAAGCUUUAGCCUUCCGCCAAGGGGCAACGGAGAGUAGUAGAAGUUAAAACCUAAAGGCCAGUUUUUCAACUUGAGAGUUUCGUCAGCAUGUUAAGAUUACCAAAUCAUCCUUUGAAAUGCCAAAGUCAUAAUAAUGAAGCGAAGACAACAUGAUAACCUUCUUGGCGAUAACUUGUGACAAAAUUCGAAGACCAGCCCAAGUCUACGCUUCCCUCCUCUUUUUCUUCGAAAGUGGAAAGAAAGUAAGGGUGCAAUAAUCCUAGUUCACAGGAACUACGUACAAAUUUGGACGCAAGAGACGUAAAUUUUGAGCUCUUAAUUUAGGCAAGUAAAACGUAGGUAUCAGAGUUACCGUCGAGCACUGCUGUCAUAAAAAAGAAGGUAUCAGAGUUACCCUUGCAGGCCCCAUCUGAGUUUACUAUUGUUUCUGCAAUAUCUAGAUACUGUUAGGUCGAAACUGUAUCACCAUAGGAGGCAAUGAUGAGAGGUUCAACAAAAAUGGCUAUAUGCUUGUUCUAUUUCAUGUUCAUUGCAGAACUUGGAGGAAGUCUAAAUUCCACAGGAUCUUGUGGGAACCAUGGCCUCGACAUCCGAUUUCCAUUCUGGAUCAAGGAUAGGCAGCCAGAACAGUGUGGCUAUCCUGGUUUUGAUCUGUCUUGUAAUGAGAUGGGCGACAUAGUGCUUGAGCUGCCAGAUGCAGUGAAACUCUACAUAGCAAAGAUCGACUACAAAAGUCAAGUUAUUCAUGCAACAGAUCCCCAAGGUUGCCUUCGAAGCCACCACUCAAACUUCUAUUCGUCCGGGUUUCACAUACAGUUUAAGAUGUCCAAGGACAAUUUUACCAUCUUCAAUUGCUCUUUAAAUAAUGCAAUAUCUCGGCCUAGGAUCGCUUGUCUCAGCACUCACCAAUAUGACGUUCUUGCCGUUGAUUCAGAGCAAUCUAUUGAUGACAAUGAGCUAUUAUCUUGUACCAAGAUGUACGACCUACCUUAUCAACGUGAUAUCCGCCUGUCUUGGUCCAAUCCCAAUGGUGUAAAUUGUGAAGAAACUGGAAAACAAUGUGGAUUGAGGAUAAAUAGCAGCUCUGAGCUUGAAACUGAAUGCUAUGGCUUGCCCAGGCCAAAAAAAGGUAUUUUUAGAUUCAAGUCUUCUUUUUCACUGUUCUGUGUUUAUGGCUCCUUGAUUUUCUAGGAUUUUUUGCUUUAUUAAGUUCUUGUUUCUAUAAAUUCAUGACAUUAUAGUGACUUCAGAAACUUCCUGAAAAUGAGAACCUAACAAGUAACAAGGGUUCUUAUCUUCUGCAGGUGCACGGAAAAGGAAUCUGACUAUAGGUUAGUUGUUCUCAAAUUUACUCCAACUCUUUGCUUCCAAAAAAAAGAUCAGUUACUUCACUCAAAAGGCUUAUUUAUAUGUGCAGGUGUAACCACAGGAUCCAUCCUUUUCGGGGUUGUGGUCAUUGCAGUCUACCAAAUCUAUAACUUUAGAAAAUCAGAAGAAGAAUAUCAGGCAAAGGUUGAAAGGUUUUUGGAUGAUUACAGAGCUAUGAACCCCACAAGAUACUCCCAUGCUGAUCUCAAAAAGAUGACAAAUCAAUUCAGGGAUGAAUUGGGGCAAGGAGCUUAUGGAACUGUGUUCAAAGGAAAGCUAACCAGUGAGAUUCCGGUGGCUGUUAAGGUUCUAACCAAUUCAUCAGAAAAAGGAGAGGAAUUCGUCAACGAGAUGGGAACAAUGGCUAGGAUUCACCAUGUCAAUGUAGUCCGCUUGAUUGGCUUCUGUGCUGAUGGAUUUAGACGAGCUCUGGUUUACGAGUACUUGCCACAAGAUUCGCUGCAGAGGUUCAUAUCUUCAGCAAACGCCAAGAAUGUUUUCCUUGGCUGGGAAAGGCUGCAUCAUAUUGCCCUCGGAGUAGCCAAAGGGAUUGAAUAUCUUCACCAGGGUUGUGACCAAACAAUCCUCCACUUUGAUAUCAAACCACAUAAUAUCCUGCUGGACAAUGACUUCAAUCCUAAGAUUGCAGAUUUCGGUCUGGCUAAGCUGUGUUCCAAGUAUAAAAGUGCUAUUUCCAUGACAACAGCUAGGGGAACGGUCGGCUACAUAGCACCUGAAGUGUUCUCAAGAAACUUUGGGAAUGUCUCCUACAAGUCAGACGUGUACUGUUUUGGAAUGUUAGUGUUAGAAAUGGUUGGUGGAAGGAAAAAUGUUGACGAUACAGCAGAAAACGGUGAUCAAGUAUACUUCCCAGAAUGGAUUUAUAAUCUCUUAGAAGAAGGAGAAGACCUGCGGUUCCAAAUCGAGGAAGAAGGGGAUGCUGAAAUAGCGAAGAAGCUAGCCAUUGUGGGACUGUGGUGCAUCC